AUGAAAAAACUGGAGCUGGACGACGGCAUGGUUGCCGGCAAUGGCGACGCCGGACAGCGCCCGGGCGUGGCAACUUUGAUGCCACCCGCUGCUACUCAUGUUCCUGUUGCCUCCACCAUGGGUGCCGCCGGGGGCUUAUUCACGGCGACUCAAUGGGUGGAGCUGCAACGCCAGUCGCUGAUCUACAACCACAUGGCCGCAUCGUUGCCCAUCCCCUCAUACCUCCUCUUCUCAAAUAUCAACCCGGCAGCCGCCGCCGCCGCGGCGGCGGCGCCUUCCCAAGCUGCACCGCCGUACUACUGCUGCUACAACACCCCCCUGCUUGUCCACCAUUACCAGGCCCAGCAGGCAGCGCAGAUGUCCAUGCUGCUGCAGUGCAUGCAGCAGGCCGUCGCGCGGAGGAGGUGCGGCCGUACAGACGGCAAGAAGUGGCGCUGCGCCAGGGACGCCGAGCCCGACCAGAAGUACUGCCAACGCCACCUGAACCGCGUCGGCCGGGCACGACCCCCUCCCUCUGCGAGAAAGCAACAGCACCAGCAUGCAGCUGCUGCGGUGGUUGCUCAUCAUCGUGACCGGGACAAGUCCGCCAUGACCGCCCCUGCGGCCAUUCAUACCAGUCAUGGUAACAAGUCUUCCGGGAAUACGAUGCUGCGGGAGGAUGACGACGACUACUCGCGAGGCCUCUUGGACUUCACCGGUGGAGUUUGCCUCGCGGAGCAGCGAGAGAACCGGCUCAGCCUCAACUACGACAACAUUGCCGAGCUCUACUGCAAUAGGCAGGUGACCGCCACGCCCACGGCCACAGCAUCGGCGGCGGCGUCAGCAACGGCCAUGGACGACGACGCCAUUCAUCAUGGGGCAGCAGCAACCUGGGUGGGCAUCGGGGGACCCCUCGGCGAGGCGCUCGGUCUCGCCGUAGAGAUUCAGUGGCCUGCUGGCUCCACCUAG
rnacentral:rRNA from 1 species